ACAACGCUUCCCAGCAAACACAUGACGUUAAAAUAACGUCGGAUUAAUGUUAGAUUUUGGUCACGACGUCGGCGACCAAAAUACGACGUAAAUCUGACGUUAAAAUACCGAUGUCUAAUAGACGUUUCUUUUUGACGUCGUACUAACGUCAGGUUAUGGUCGGUGUCCUGACGUGACAGAAAAGGGAAAGAAAACAUAAUUAACCUUUAAUUCGAAUCUAAAGUCACGUGGAUGGAAAUUCAAAUUCGUAGGCGUUACGUUUUGGCUGUCGGUCAGGAAUCGGGAUGCAUUGAUAAGUGAAUAUUAUAGGUUUUCUUGAACAAAAAGGUAGUUAAAGUGUUGGACAUGCUCUCAAAGGUCGGAGGGACGGAAACACGUGAAUAUGUAAAAAGAAACAUAUGAAAUGAAAAUGAUGUCACACACGCUAUUGGGCGCUACAAACGCUACAUAUCCUCCGGACAGACGAGGGGUGCUGAAAGAAGGUCAUAUCUUAAAGCAUCACACCUCAAAAUUCGUGCUAAUUCUCAUGGAUAUCUAAAAGUAUAACUUUGUGAAGUAACUAAAAGGCAGCAAUUUAUACAUUACUGACAAUUAUCAAAGGAGGUCAAAAUAUGCAAAAUGGCACUAAAUGUUUUAGAAAUGCUGUAGAAAUAUAGUUAAAGUACUGAAAAUCUGUCAUUAAUUGCUUGAAACAUUAUUAUCAGAAUCUUUUAACUUUAAUUAAAAUUAUAAUAUUUUCAUUGUUUUAUUUGAUAAGGCAAACUUUGAUAGAAAUGUGCAUACAUUGUUUUGUUCUUUAAUAUUUGUACAUGUUUUCUUAGUUUCAUUUAUGUCAUUGUUUUUGUAAUACUUUUUGUUUUGUAAUUAACUUUUUUUAUGUUUUAUUUUGUUUAAUUUAUGAAAAUUAUUUAACCUUGCAGAAUUUACUAAAAUUGUAUGUAACAGCUUAAAAUUGCAACUUUUAUCUUAAAUUAAAAAAGCACGAAACAUAUUUUUGCUUUUAGUUUUCUGUUAUACAUUUCAUUUGAGGGAAAGUUUCUUAAUAGAAUGAGUUACAUUAAAUUAGAUCAAAUCAGGAUUAGCCAGAAAAUAUUUAUGACGUGGUGAAACAAAAA